UACGUAGGGUGCAAGCGUUAAUCGGAAUUACUGGGCGUAAAGCGUGCGCAGGCGGUUUCGUAAGCUUGAUGUGAAAUCCCCGGGCUCAACCUGGGAACUGCAUUGAGGACUGCGAGACUAGAAUACGGCAGAGGGGGGUGGAAUUCCACGUGUAGCAGUGAAAUGCGUAGAGAUGUGGAGGAACACCGAUGGCGAAGGCAGCCCCCUGGGCCUGUAUUGACGCUCAUGCACGAAAGCGUGGGGAGCAAACAGG
rnacentral:rRNA from 1 species